GUGGGGAAUCUUAGACAAUGGGCGCAAGCCUGAUCUAGCCAUGCCGCGUGAGCGAUGAAGGCCUUAGGGUUGUAAAGCUCUUUCGUGGGGGAAGAUAAUGACUGUACCCCAAGAAGAAGCCCCGGCUAACUCCGUGCCAGCAGCCGCGGUAAUACGGAGGGGGCUAGCGUUGUUCGGAAUUACUGGGCGUAAAGCGCACGUAGGCGGACUGGAAAGUCAGGGGUGAAAUCCCGGGGCUCAACCCCGGAACUGCCUUUGAAACUCCCAGUCUUGAGGUCGAGAGAGGUGGGUGGAAUUCCGAGUGUAGAGGUGAAAUUCGUAGAUAUUCGGAGGAACACCAGUGGCGAAGGCGGCUCACUGGCUCGAUACUGACGCUGAGGUGCGAAAGCGUGGGGAGCAAACAGGAUUAGAAACCCUUGUAGUCC
rnacentral:rRNA from 1 species